UUACUACUCCCUCCGUUCCGAAUUACUCGUCGCAUAAAUGGAUGUAUCUAGAUGUAUUUUAGUUCUAGUUACAUCCAUUUCUGUGACGAGUAAUUUGGAAUGGAGGGAGUAAAUU
rnacentral:pre_miRNA from 1 species